GGAUCAUUACUAGAGCAAAGGAUAGACAGCGCCCGCGGAGCUCGCUCCCGGGGCUACCCUACUCCCGUAGGGUUUAGAGUCGUCGGGCCUCUCGGAGAAGCUCGGUCCUGAACUCCACCCUUGAAUAAACUACCUUUGUUGCUUUGGCGGGCCGCCUCGUGCCAGCGGCUUCGGCUGUUGAGUGCCCGCCAGAGGACCCCAACUCUUGUUUUUAGUGAUGUCUGAGUACUAUAUAAUAGUUAAAACUUUCAACAACGGAUCUCUUGGUUCUGGCAUCGAUGAAGAACGCAGCGAAAUGCGAUAAGUAAUGUGAAUUGCAGAAUUCAGUGAAUCAUCGAAUCUUUGAACGCACAUUGCGCCCUCUGGUAUUCCGGGGGGCAUGCCUGUUCGAGCGUCAUUAUAACCACUCAAGCUCUCGCUUGGUAUUGGGGUUCGCGGUUUCGCGGCCCCUAAAAUCAGUGGCGGUGCCUGUCGGCUCUACGCGUAGUAAUACUCCUCGCGAUUGAGUCCGGUAGGUCUACUUGCCAGCAACCCCUAAUUUUUUUUAAGGUUGACCUCGGAUCAGGUAGGGAUACCCGCUGAACUUAAGCAUAUCAAUAAGCGGAGGAA
rnacentral:rRNA from 1 species